rnacentral:lncRNA from 1 species
GUUGUCACGUGCAAAAAGCCUCUAAUGUAUUACACAAGAAUUGAAAGAAAACAUAAGUGUCAAAUGAUGUUGUUUUUAAAACUGAAAAGGAUCAUAUAUAGGAGUAAGAAGGUCCGCUGAGAUGACAAACAACUACCUCAUAAAUCUAAUUAGUAAGCCUCAGAAAAGAAGAGAACAGAAAGAAUUAAAUAAUCCGGGCUCGUAACCUACAAAAAUGUAGAAUCAAGGGGUGAGUACCAAACCAAACGAAACUCAACAAGUAAACUUUUAAACACAAGCUAAUGGAAUAAAAUAAAUAUACUAUUUACACCCCAACUGAACCCCUACAACUAAAACUUGCAUAAAAAUCAGUCCAAUCUAAUAGUUCAAAAAUAAUAUAGUGUAUAGCUCAAUAACAACACUCCAAAUAUUAUAAAUCAGCAACACACGAGGUCACGUUCACCACUCACAAGUUCCACAAAAAGACACUAGCACAUUCACAAAUGAUAUAGAUAUGUAAUGCAUUGUCAAAUAUAGUGAUACAUGUACGAUCUUGCAGUGUGCGAAAUGUCCCUCAAUAGUAGAAUUCAUUGUGACGUGCGACACGUCCCUAAAAUCAUAAUAUUCACCACAGUGCACGACACGUCUCUUGAAAUUGUACAUCAUCUCUAAUUUCUUAUUCUCUCUCAAUUAACAUAAUACUAAUCACAACCAUGUCUCAAAACCAAUUCAAAUAACAUGUUCACACAAAUAAUGAGGAGAUAACAAUUUUCAUAACAUUACACAAUUCACAUGAGCAUACUCAUGAUAUAAGAUCAACAAUGAAUCAAUAAGUCUUUGAAACCAUUCUCAAUACAUCAUACACCAAUAAUUUAUCACAUUGCCUUUUAUUAUCUUAUUUCAUCAUUUGAAUUAUUCAGUAUGGACAAAUCAGCCCAUCACUAAGUUCCGUUAAUCCAAACACGUAUCACAAGGAAAUACACGAUUAUAUACACUUAACAAGGAUUGAAGAAUCCACUUACCUCAAAAAAUUAUUCCAGGAAACAACCUCCCACUUUUGGUGGGCUUCCAAACCAAUGCAAUCUAUUCAAAUAAACAAUCGUAAUAAGAUUUCAAAACCAAGAACACUCAUAUUACUAUCUGUCUAGUCUAGACUCAAUAACUCACUCAAACUUAUAUUCAAUCUCCUAAUCUUCUUAUCAAUCAAUAAAUUGACUCUCAUAUUUUUCAAAUUUCAAGCAUACGGUUAAGUUUUAUUUAAUGCAAGUAUCAUAUAAAUCUAAUGUAUCAUAUAAUACAGUACCGUUUAUAUUUAAUUAUUUAUUUUAAUAUGUCAAAACUUGAAUUAUAACGUGAUAACAAUACGAAAUAUCUCAAAUUGAAUUUCUAAUCUAUAAAAUCCAUAUAUAAACAAGAAAAUAAAUGCAACAAAUGAAAUACUUACAGGAUGCUACUUGCAUGUCUAUUUUAAUAAUAUAACAUCCCUUCCCAAUACUUGGUAAUCAUUACUUUCGUAUGGGUGCAUACUUAGUUUGGAAUUACACAAACUAUAUGUACAUAACUCUAAUGACAACAAUGAAUGCACCCCUAAAUCUAUACCUAUGUACACAAACUAUAUAUACAU